rnacentral:lncRNA from 1 species
CCUUAAAGAUAAAUGAUAGGUCAAGAUGCUUUACUUCAUAGCCAAACAUACUAAGGCACAGAGCAACAUGGCAGGAAUUUGAGUUGUGAGCGCCAGAAGUGCUUGUUCAGCACUAACAAGAAAUAGGAGAAUAGGAUCAGUAUAAUCUCAUAUUCUUAUUAAAUUAAAAAAAGACAGAGAGUAAUGCCAAGGUUAUGACAUGAACUGACAAGACCAAAAAAAAAAUCAGUUUUUCUGAUGCUUCAGCCUUUGCAAGCAUAGGAAAGAAUUAAAAAAAAAAAAAAAAAAAGCCCUGUGGCAUGAGUUAUAGAUGAAGUAUCUGCCUUUAGCUUGGAAUUUCCUGGCAUUUUUCAGCCUGUGACACAGACUUGAUGUGAUUAAACAAAGGCUUUUCUCCAAAUUUAAAGCUCUUAAAAAAAAAAGCUGAAUCUAAUACUCUAACUUGUUUUUAAAUGGGAGCAGAUGCCUCUGUUUCUUGAGCUGACUUCCAGAUUCUGAGAAAUAAAUGAAGAGUGGAGGCUUGUUUUGGUAGAGGCUGAGAAAAGGAGUUGGCCAUAUUUGCCCUUCAGAACUUCGUGUCAUCCCCCAGCUCCCCAACGGCAGGGCCACAUUCUUUCACAGGACGGAGUUGGGGCAGAUUAUGGCUUCCUCUGGAUUGGAUUUCCCUUGGCUUCCCUGAGGGCAAUCCCCCGAGGAAGCACAUCCUGGAGCCAAACUCACCCAAUGAACCACAGCAACAGCUCCUAGGAGAAUGAAGAGUGUGAAUGGAUGGCCUUUUCAAAAUGAUGAGCCUGGAAGAGUUACAGACUCUGGCCCGAAAGAACCAAAGUUGAAGGUAGAGAUGUUUUAAGGAUGAGCAGAGCAGAACAACUUAGCAGUGGGAUGUUAAAGGCAACAU